rnacentral:rRNA from 1 species
AUUAAACGCUGGCGGCAGGCUUAACACAUGCAAGUCGAGCGGAGAUGAGGUGCUUGCACCUUAUCUUAGCGGCGGACGGGUGAGUAAUGCUUAGGAAUCUGCCUAUUAGUGGGGGACAACAUUCCGAAAGGAAUGCUAAUACCGCAUACGUCCUACGAGAGAAAGCAGGGGAUCUCCGGACCUUGCGCUAAUAGAUGAGCCUAAGUCGGAUUAGCUAGUUGGUGGGGUAAAGGCCUACCAAGGCGACGAUCUGUAGCGGGUCUGAGAGGAUGAUCCGCCACACUGGGACUGAGACACGGCCCAGACUCCUACGGGAGGCAGCAGUGGGGAAUAUUGGACAAUGGGGGGAACCCUGAUCCAGCCAUGCCGCGUGUGUGAAGAAGGCCAUAUGGUUGUAAAGCACUUUAAGCGAGGAGGAGGCUACUGAGACUAAUACUCUUGGAUAGUGGACGUUACUCGCAGAAUAAGCACCGGCUAACUCUGUGCCAGCAGCCGCCGUAAAAC